rnacentral:misc_RNA from 1 species
UCCUGGUUAACCCAGGCAGUCUCAUUAGAGUUCCCACCUUAUAUGUUGGCAACUAAUGAUAAGGGUUGCGCUCGUUGCUGGACUUAACCAAACACCUCACGGCACGAGCUGACGACAGCCAUGCAGCACCUGUGCACUGGCCCCGAAGGGAGGCAUCAUCUCUGAUGCUGUCCAGUGCAUGUCAAGCCUGGGUAAGGUUCUUCGCGUUGCAUCGAAUUAAACCACAUGCUCCACUGCUUGUGCGGGUCCCCGUCAAUUCUUUUGAGUUUCAGCCUUGCGACUGUACUUCCCAGGCGGUAUACUUAUCGCGUUAGCUACGGCACAAUCGGGGUUGAAUCCAAUUACACCAAGUAUACAUCGUUUACGGCAAGGACUAC